rnacentral:rRNA from 1 species
GAUGAACGCUGGCGGCGUGCCUAAUACAUGCAAGUCGAGCGAACAGACGAGGAGCUUGCUCCUCUGACGUUAGCGGCGGACGGGUGAGUAACACGUGGAUAACCUACCUAUAAGACUGGGAUAACUUCGGGAAACCGGAGCUAAUACCGGAUAAUAUAUUGAACCGCAUGGUUCAAUAGUGAAAGACGGUUUUGCUGUCACUUAUAGAUGGAUCCGCGCCGCAUUAGCUAGUUGGUAAGGUAACGGCUUACCAAGGCGACGAUGCGUAGCCGACCUGAGAGGGUGAUCGGCCAUACUGGAACUGAGACACGGUCCAGACUCCUACGGGAGGCAGCAGUAGGGAAUCUUCCGCAAUGGGCGAAAGCCUGACGGAGCAACGCCGCGUGAGUGAUGAAGGUCUUCGGAUCGUAAAACUCUGUUAUUAGGGAAGAACAAAUGUGUAAGUAACUAUGCACGUCUUGACGGUACCUAAUCAGAAGGCCACGGCUAACUACGUG